rnacentral:tRNA from 1 species
AGGCCUCACCGAGAUUCGAACUCGGAUCGCUGGAUUCAAAGUCCAGAGUGCUAACCAUUACACCAUGAGACC